ensembl:lncRNA
ACACUGUGACAUGGGGACACUGUGACAUGGGGACACUGUGACAUGGGGACACCAUGGGAUGGGGACACUGGGGGAUGGGGACACCGUGGGAUGGGGACACUGUGACAUGGGGACACUGGGGGAUGGGGACACUGGGGGAUGGGGACACUGUGACAUGGGGACACUGUGACAUGGGGACACCGUGGGAUGGGGACACUGUGACAUGGGGACACCAGGGGAUGGGGACGCUGUGACAUGGGGACACUGUGACAUGGGGACACCACGGGAUGGGGACACUGUGACACAGGGACACCGCAGGAUGGGGACACUGACAUGGGGACGCUGUGACAUGGGGACACUGGGGGAUGGGGACACUAUGACAUGGGGACACUGUGACAUGGGGACACCGCGGGAUGGGGACGCUGUGACAUGGGGACACCAGGGGAUGGGGACGCUGUGACAUGGGGACACUGUGACAUGGGGACACCAGGGGAUGGGGACAGUGUGACAUGGGGACAGUGUGACAUGGGGACAUGGGGACACUAUGACAUGGGGACACCAGGGGUUGGGGACACUAUGACAUGGGGACACUGUGACAUGGGGACACUGCAGCCACUGUCACCGUCACAGCACGGGGCGCCCUGUCCCCAAUGUGUCCCCAAGGCUCCCUGUCACCUGGGGGUCCUUCGUCACCCAGGUGUCCCCUGUCACCCAGGUGUCCCCUGCCACCCAAGUCUCUUUUGUCACCUGGGAUCUCCACGUCACCCAAGUGUCCUUUGUCACCCAGGUGUCCCCUGUCACCCAGGUGACGUCCUCGGUCACCCAGAUGCCCUUUGCCACUUGGGUGUCCUU